rnacentral:rRNA from 1 species
AAAGAUUAAGCCAUGCAUGUCUAAGUAUCCCUUAUCUAAUCGUGAAACCGCGAAUGGCUCAUUAUAACAGCUAUAAUUUACUCGAUCUUGACACUAUCCAACUUGGAUAACUGUGGUAAUUCUAGAGCUAAUACAUGCAUUAAAGCUCUGACCUCACGGGAAGAGUGCACUUAUUAGAACAAAACCAAGCGGCUUCGGCUGUUUUCGGUUGACUCAUAGUAACUGAGCUGAUCGCACGGUCUUGCACCGGCGACGUGUCUUUCAAGUAUCUGCCGUAUCAACUUUCGAUGGUAGUGUAUCUGACUACCAUGGUGAUCACGCGUAACGGAGAAUAAGGGUUCGGCUCCGGAGAGUUCGCCUGAGAAAUCGCGAACACAUCUAAGGAAGGCAGCAGGCGCGAAAAUUACCCACUCUCAGCACGAGGAGGUAGUGACGAAAAAUAACGAGACCGUUCUCUUAUGAGGCCGGUCAUCGGAAUGGGUACAAUUUAAACCCUUUAACGAGUAUCUAUGAGAGGGCAAGUCUGGUGCCAGCAGCCGCGGUAAUUCCAGCUCUCAAAGUGCAUAGAAUUAUUGCUGCGGUUAAAAAGCUCGUAGUUGGAUCUGUGCCAUAGGACGUGGUCCACCUUCUGGGUGCGUACUAUGUUCCUAGGCUUUUUGCUGGUUUUCCCGUCGUAGCCUUCAUUGGUUGCGGCGGGUGGCUGGCGAGUUUACUUUGAGAAAAUCAGAGUGCUCAACACAGGCGUAUCGCUUGAAUGAUUGUGCAUGGAAUAAUAGAAAAGGAUUUCGGUCCUCUUUUAUUGGUUUUGUGGACUGAGAUAAUGGUUAACAGGGACCAACGGGGGCAUUCGUAUCGCUGCGUGAGAGGUGAAAUUCUUGGACCGUACCGAGACGCCCUACUGCGAAAGCUUUUGCCAAGAAUG